rnacentral:rRNA from 1 species
AUGCGUGACGGUGUCAUUUUUGCUCAGCUUCGAGGCUUCUCGCGAGUUCUGCUGGAAGUUGAUUGCUUAGAAUUGGUGGAUGCGUGGAACUCGCGCUCUUUUGCACACUCUGUUAUAGCGCCUAUUUUCCUUGAGAUUGAAGGGCUAGCCUCAUCUUUUAUUUCUUUUGUUAUUCAACAUGUAACAAGAAAUGCCAACAACUCGGCCCACUUGUGUGCGAAGCUUGCUUGCACACUCGAGGUGACCAGCUGCUGGAUGGACUCACCGUCUGGGUUUCUCAUGACCACCGUCAUGGCUGAUCGUGUAGGAGCUCUUAACAGUUGA